rnacentral:rRNA from 1 species
UACGUAGGGGGCGAGCGUUGUCCCGGAAUCAUUGGGCGUAAAGCGCGUGUAGGCGGCCCGGUAAGUCCGCUGUGAAAGUCCAGGGCUCAACCCUGGGAUGCCGGUGGAUACUGUCGGGCUCGAGUCCGGAAGAGGCGAGUGGAAUUCCUGGUGUAGCGGUGAAAUGCGCAGAUAUCAGGAGGAACACCAAUGGCGAAGGCAGCUCGCUGGGACGUGACUGACGCUGAGACGCGAAAGCGUGGGAGCA